rnacentral:tRNA from 1 species
ACCUGGGUGGCUCAGCGGUUGAGCAUCUGCCUUUGGCUCAGGGCGUGAUCCUGGAUCCAGAUCCAGGUCCAGGUC